AUGGCGCCGAAGCAGCUUCCUACCGUCCUCCUCGUCGUCUGCGCCACCCUCCUGGCCCUCGCCCCACCGUUGCUCGCCGGCGACCCCGACAUGCUUCAGGACUUCUGCGUCGCCGAUUACAAAUCCCUCGACGGCCCACUGCGGCUGAACGGGUUCCCGUGCAAGAGGCCGGAGAACGUGACGGCGGACGACUUCUUCUCAGCCGCGCUGGCAUUCCCGGGUAACACGGGCAACCCAGUCGGCUCCGCGGUGACGGCGGCGAACGUGGAGAAGCUCCCGGGGCUCAACACGCUGGGCGUCUCCAUGUCACGCGUGGACUACGCGCCGUGGGGCGUGAACCCGCCGCACACCCACCCACGCGCCACCGAGAUCAUCUACGUGCUGGAGGGCUCCCUCGACGUCGGCUUCGUCACCACCGCCGGCAAGCUCUUCGCCCGCACCGUCUGCAAGGGCGAGCUCUUCGUCUUCCCCCGUGGCCUCGUCCACUACCAGAAGAACAACGGAGGCGCCCCGGCCGCCGCCAUCUCGGCCUUCAACAGCCAGCUUCCGGGCACGCAGUCCCUCGCCCUAGCGAUGUUCGCAGCCUCGCCACCGGUGCCCACGGACGUGCUGGCCAGGGCGCUCCAGAUCGACGGCGGCCUGGUGGAGGCCAUCAAGGCCAAGUUCCCGCCAAAGUAA
rnacentral:rRNA from 1 species